rnacentral:rRNA from 1 species
GAUGAACGCUGGCGGCGUGCUUAACACAUGCAAGUCGAACGGAAAGGCUCCUGCUUGCAGGGGUACUCGAGUGGCGAACGGGUGAGUAACACGUGGGUGAUCUGCCCUGCACUUCGGGAUAAGCCUGGGAAACUGGGUCUAAUACCGGAUAGGACCGCAUUUUGGAUGGUGUGGUGGAAAGUUUUUCGGUGUGGGAUGAGCUCGCGGCCUAUCAGCUUGUUGGUGGGGAAUGGCCUACCAAGGCGUCGACGGGUAGCCGGCCUGAGAGGGUGUACGGCCACAUUGGGACUGAGAUACGGCCCAGACUCCUACGGGAGGCAGCAGUGGGGAAUAUUGCACAAUGGGCGCAAGCCUGAUGCAGCGACGCCGCGUGGGGGAUGACGGCCUUCGGGUUGUAAACUCCUUUCGCUAGGGACGAAGCGCAAGUGACGGUACCUGGAGAAGAAGCACCGGCUAACUACGUG